rnacentral:lncRNA from 1 species
CUUACAUAAUCAUCAGAGGCUUUCUCUGAAAAAUACAUGGAGGGUUUUGUGCUAUCAUCACCAGAGCCAGCAAUUCAACCUAAAUUCUGAGUGUAAUGGAAGCCGUUAAUCACUAUCAAGUUCAUCAUUUUUUUUUCAUGGAAUCAACAGAGAAAACUUCUGUGACCAUAUAUAUGAGGCUUUUUCUGACCAACAAGAAAGAAAUCAAUUCUGUAGCAGAUACUAGGAAGAUCUUAAAAGCCAUAAAGAUUCCUCUGGGAGGUGUACCCUCACAGAACC